GCUCCGGUGGCCUAGUGGUUAGAGCGUACGGCUCCUAUGCGGGAGGUCGCGGGUUCGAAAACCGGCUGAGGUA